UGGGGUUACCAUAGGGGCUUAGGGGGUGGGUACAGGAGGCGUUAUAGGGUUACAUAGGGGAUGGGUACAGGAGGCGUUAUAGGGUUACAUAGGGGAUGGCUACAGGAUGCGUUAUGGGGUACAUCAGGAUUGG
rnacentral:lncRNA from 1 species